CGUAGGUGAACCUGCGGAGGGAUCAUUAC
rnacentral:rRNA from 1 species